AACUUUCCGCAAUGGGGAAAAGCGUGAGGGAGAAAUGCCGCAGUAGAUUGCAGGUGUAAGGAUCGAGAUCUUAUUAUCCCGGGGAAGAAGCAAUGAUACUAUUAGAGGAAUAAGCAUCGGCUAUCUUUGCGCCAGCAGUAGUUGUAAUAGAGAGGGCGCAAGUGUUAUCUAGAAGGAUUGAGCGUAGCGCGUCUGUAGGUGGUUUUUAAUUCCACCGUCAAAUCCCAGGUUCAACACUGAACAGGAAGUGGAAACUACCAAGUAGGAGUACGAAAGGGCGAAGGAAAUGUCCGGUGGGGAGUUGAAUUGGUAAGUAAUGGGAGAAAACACCGAGGGGCAAAGCACUUUGUUGGUCCGACAUUGGCAUUGGGAGAGGAAAGGUAGGGGACCCAUUUAAAUUGGUGCUCUGGGUCGUAGCGAUA
rnacentral:rRNA from 1 species